rnacentral:lncRNA from 1 species
GGGGAAGUCAUAGCUGGAGGAGACGUGUGUUAGGAAGCUACAAUGGCAGCUCCCUAGUGGAGGUGUUUCGGAAAAACUCCGAAGAUUCCACUUGAGAAAAUCAUCGGCCUUCAGACAACGUCUAUGCCAGAUAAUGCUACCAAAUCACAACCUUGCCUUUCCUCCCUACUGCUGUUCUGAUGUGGGAGGACCCAAAGGCAGCAGAAGAGCCAAAGAAGAGUAGCAGAAAGGCAUAUCCACAGCUCUUCAAAUAAGCAAUGUGAUGUUAGCAAAAGUGCAGGGGCUCCUUGAGAACUUUCCAGGGCUAACCAGCUGCUGAGGAGUGGCCUCCAGGAAAGAGAGAAGCACUCUGAUUCAGGCAGUGAUUUACACCUAAAAUACCAACUCCAUCAUAUCUUCAGAACAAUUCUUCUAGACCUUGCAUCUAAAUAUGGAGUCAUUAACUAACAACGAACAAAACCUCUGGAUGGCCGAAGGACCUAGGCUAUACAGAAAGCUGUGAAUUACCAAUGAGAACGCAGAUUAGAUCAAAGAUGUCCCUAAGAAGCGUUGAGAUGUCACAAAGUUCUAGGUAAGGAGAGAGCUUUAGUUUAUGUAAAUUUCAUCUUUCCAUAAACCUGCCCUCACCUUUCUAACCUUUUUCCUCCCCUGUAUUAAGAAAUAUCUAACUUUAUAUUUCAUUAGGAGGGGCAUGAUAAAGUAAGCAGAACACCGCAGUGGGCAUCAGAAUGCAUUCCAUUUCCAGACCUAUCUCUUACCAUCUGGAUAUCUCACUCUCAGGAAGAUCAAGUGACAAACCUGGAUUAGUCCAUUUUCACACUGCUACAAGGAACUACCUGAGACUGGGUAGUUUAUGAAGAAAAGAGGUUUAAUUGAUUCAUAGUUCUGCAGCCUUAACAGGAAGCAUGACUUGGGGGUCUCAGGAAACUUAUACAAUCAUAGCAGAAAGUGAAGGGGAAGCAAGGUAUGUCUUCUCGUGGUAGCAGGGGAGAGAGAGAGCAAAGGGGGAACUGGCACACAGUUUUAACCAUCAUAUCUGGUGAGAACUCAUUCACUAUCACAAAAACAGCACAGGGCAAACCACCCUCAUGAUCUAGUUACCUCCUACCAGGUCCCUUCCCUGACAUGUGGGGAUUACGAUUUGACGUGAGAUUUUGGUAGGGACACAGCCAAACCAGAUUAAAACCCAGACUCUCAAUCUCCAUCUCUGACUUCCUCCAUCUGCUGCUUCCUCCUUCUUCUUUCCAUCCCAUAGCUAUGAGAAAUCAGGUGGGUGCUCUUCUAUUCAUCUCAUGAACUACUGGACAUGUUUACAUUUGGGGAACUUAAAAAUAAAAAUGAACCAGAUAGCUGUUGGCUGUUGUCUUUUUGUGAAGAAUAAUUUUAGGGAUCAAAAGACAAAAAGAAAAACAUUCUUUGUAUCAGAGAAUAGCAUUAUGAUCUCCACACAUAGUGCCAGCUCUUUUAACUUUGAAGGUCAAAUUUCCUAGUUUUCCAAAUGUCCACUGAUUCCCUUUAAACAAAACCCUGUCUGGGCAAAAUAAAACAUGUCCAUGAACUCAAUUUAGAUAAAGCUGAUUUGGCCUAUGAGCCGUGAAUUUAAAUAAAGAAAUCUUAAAUAAUGGAA